AUGGGGGACCACGAGGCGCGCGGUGACGACACGGAGAGGAAGGCGGAUAAGAAGCUCUCCGGCUGGGGGCUCUUCGGCUCCAAGUACGAGGACGCCGCCGACCUAUACGAUAAGGCCGCCAACUUUUUCAAGCUUUCGAAGAACUGGAACCGAGCUGCAUCUGUGUAUAUCAAGAUUGCUAAUUGCCAUCUGAAGGGUGAUAGUAAGCAUGAAGCUGCCUCAGCUUAUGUGGAAGCUGCAAACUGCUACAAAAAAUUCUCACCUCAGGAAGCUGCGCAAGCGCUAGACCAGGCUGUUAAUCUUUUUCUGGAAAUUGGUAGAUUGAGCAUGGCUGCAAGAUACUGCAAGGACAUUGGUGAGAUUUAUCAGCAAGAACAAGAUUUGGAGAAGGCUUCAGAUUACCUAGAAAGGGCCGCUGAUCUUUUCGACAGUGAAGGACAGACAUCUCAAUCAAACACCAUUAAGCAGAAAGUUGCAGAAAUUGCUGCGCAGUUGGAACAGUACCCAAAGGCAACUGAGAUUUUUGAAGAAAUUGCUCGUCAAUCAAUUAACAACAAUCUGCUGAAGUAUAGUGUCAGAGGCAUCCUCCUUAAUGCAGGGAUCUGCCAACUAUGUAGAGCUGAUGCUGUUGCUAUACAAAAUUCAUUGGAGAGAUACCAGGAAAUCGAUCCGACUUUCUCAGGAACUCGUGAAUACAAACUUUUAGCUGAUCUUGCUGCAUCAAUGGACGACGGAGAUGUUGCCAAAUUUACUGAUGCCAUCAAGGAAUUUGACGGCAUGACACGCCUGUCGUGUAUAUUUGGAGUGACUGCAUUUGUUGUUCAGGAUCCUUGGAAAACGACACUGCUGCUGAGGGCAAAGAAUGAGCUGAAGAAGCAAGAGGACGAUGAGGAUGAUCUAACCUAA
rnacentral:rRNA from 1 species